rnacentral:rRNA from 1 species
GACGAACGCUGGCGGCGUGCCUAACACAUGCAAGUCGUGCGAGAAAGUUCCUUCGGGAGCGAGUAAAGCGGCGCACGGGUGAGUAACACGUAGGUAACCUGCCCCCCAGUCUGGAACAACUAGAGGAAACUCUAGCUAAUGCCGGAUGAGACCACGAUCCCUUCGGGGGUUGCGGCCAAAGAUGGCCUCUACUUGUAAGCUAUCGCUGAGGGAUGGGCCUGCGGGCCAUUAGCUUGUUGGUGAGGUAACGGCUCACCAAGGCUGUGAUGGCUAGCUGGUCUGAGAGGAUGACCAGCCACACUGGGACUGAGACACGGCCCAGACUCCUACGGGAGGCAGCAGUGGGAAUAUUGCGCAAUGGGCGAAAGGACCUGACGCAGCGACGCCGCGUGGGUGA